UUUAAGAGUAGAUGUGGAUUUUUAUGUUCAACGUUUGACCGUUCAUAUCAUUUAAAUUCUUUUAUGAUUAUUAUUUUUAUUGUUAUUAAAUGAUAAAGCAAGAAUAAUACUUUAUGCAUAACUUUUUAUAUAUUUUUUUAAGUAAGAUAAGCAGUGAAAUGUUUGACACAGAACCGUAACUACACCUGGA
rnacentral:pre_miRNA from 1 species